UACAGAGGGUGCGAGCGUUAAUCGGAAUUACUGGGCGUAAAGCGUGCGUAGACGGCUAUCUAAGUCGGGUGUGAAAGCCCCGGGCUCAACCUGGGAAUUGCAUUCGAGACUGAAUAGCUAGGGUACGGUAGAGGGAAGUGGAAUUUCCGGUGUAGCGGUGAAAUGCGUAGAGAUCUGGAGGAAUACCGGUGGCGAAGGCGGCCCCCUGGACAAAGACUGACGCUCAGGUGCGAAAGCGUGGGGAGCAAACAGG
rnacentral:rRNA from 1 species